GAAGAGCUGCGAGCCUAACCUAUUCUGCUCCCUAAGCCCACGGGCUCCCUACACCCUGAGAGCCAUCCACUCAGGGGCCCAGUGGCUGGAUUUGCUGAUUAUUUGCUGAUAAUGGUCACCGGUACUACAGGAUCUCGGUCAUGUUUCUUCCCAAAUGUCUUAAGGCUUCCAGAGUAUGUCUUGCUCAGGUAGUACUUACAUUUAAAAAAAAAAAAAAAGUAGUAUUUUAACACUGCUGUGAACAUGGUGGCUGUUGGGGGGCUAUGAAUUGUCAGAAACCUUUUGGAAGACAGUUUGGUUUCAACUGUCAGUAGUGGUUGUUAUGUAAUUAUUUAUACUGUAAUAACUUAAAAAUAUUGUUCAUGGUGAAGAUGAAAACAUUUUAAAAUGGGUGCUUCAGGGAGGCAGAUGGUUACUUAAAAUCCAGCAGUAGAAACAACGGGUGUUGGCGAGGUUGUGGAGAAAAAGGGGAACCAUCUUCCACUGCUGGUAGAAAUGCAGGCUGGUGCAGCCACUCUGGAGAACAGUGUGGAGGUUCCU